rnacentral:rRNA from 1 species
GUCUACAGCCAUAGCACCCUGAAUAUGCCCAAUCUCCUCUGAUUUUGAAAGCUAAGCAGAAUUGGGCCUGGUUAGUACUUUGAUGGGAGAUCUUCUCAUCUGAAAUUUGUCCACAUUGCAUC